rnacentral:rRNA from 1 species
UGGGGAAUAUUGGACAAUGGGCGAAAGCCUGAUCCAGCCAUGCCGCGUGAGUGACGAAGGCCUUAGGGUUGUAAAACUCUUUCGUCGGGGACGAUAAUGACGGUACCCGAAGAAGAAGCUCCGGCUAACUUCGUGCCAGCAGCCGCGGUAAUACGAAGGGAGCUAGCGUUGUUCGGAUUUACUGGGCGUAAAGGGCGCGUAGGCGGCAAUUCAAGUCAUCUGUGAAAUCUCCGGGCUUAACUCGGAACGGUCAGAUGAUACUGCUUUGCUAGAGUGCAGAAGGGGCAAUCGGAAUUCUUGGUGUAGCGGUGAAAUGCGUAGAUAUCAAGAGGAACACCUGAGGUGAAGACGGGUUGCUGGGCUGACACUGACGCUGAGGCGCGAAAGCCAGGGGAGCAAACGGGAUUAGAUACCCACGUAGUCCCUGAGCGGGCUGGCAAGGCGCAU